rnacentral:rRNA from 1 species
UACGAAGGGGGCUAGCGUUGUUCGGAAUUACUGGGCGUAAAGCGUAUGCAGGCGGAUCGUUAAUUCGGGGGUGAAAUCCCGAGGCUCAACCUCGGAACUGCCUUUGAUACUGCAAAUCUCGAGUCCGGAAGAGGUGAGUGGAAUUCCUAGUGUAGAGGUGAAAUUCGUAGAUAUUAGGAAGAACACCAGUGGCGAAGGCGGCUCACUGGUCCGGUACUGACGCUGAGGUGCGAAAGCGUGGGGAGCAAACAGG